UUUUGUUCUUUUUCAUAAACCCUUUCACCGCCAAAGACGUCACAUGACGCGCGCGGCUACAGUCCAAUAUCAACCUUCCUUCACCCCGACAAGGUUCACGAUUACGCGCCGCACAUGAUAGGCGUGGCGUCCAAACGGGUGUCCAUAUAAAGUUAUUUGGCAUUAUUCGUGUCCAUAUUAUUAAGUACCUAUGUAAGUAGUUGGAAGAACUAUACCUGGCACAAUACAAGAUCUGAUUUAAUCUUUGACUAGUCUUCAUUAUAGAAAUAUUAUCGUUCAUAUUUUAUUUGAAACGUUAGGUAAAUAAUUCAUGUCAAUGGUACGGUCAAAAUAUUAAAUUAAUUUGCAUCUUGUUACUUUUGUUUGGGAAAUUGAUAAAAUUGUAAAUAUUGUAUAAUUUUGCCAGCACCUCACACAUACAAGCAUACCUACGUCUCAAAAAUACCUACUGAGUAGGUUUAGCAAGACUCAGAGAAACGACCCGUUGUAUUUAAGUGUUUGAAUUAGAAAGGUACGGGUAGUCAACCUCGCGCGCUAGAUAUUGUCGCGGUGCACUCAUGCUAAGCCUAUUUGAUUAUCUAAUUUAUUCAUCCAAUUUGUGUAAUUUUAAAACUCAAUUUGGGGAAAAUAGUAAGUAGGUACCUUCAUUGUAUUCUUUCGAAUUUUGACAUUUAUUUGGCAUUAUUCCCAAAAAACGAUCAGCGGUAGCUAAUUGUAUGAGAAAGCAAUUAUUAUACCUUAUUUUUUACUUAAGUUCUUAAGCUAACUGUAUUAAAGACAUUAAAUGUAAACUGGCAAUUUAAAAAUCGGCUACAUGUCAACUGGGGUUAAAAGAUACGAAAGGGGCAAACCAAACAUAUUAAUAACGGGUCACUCACGUAUUUUAAGUCGAAAAACGCUCGACAUGUUUCACUCCGUACCGAGGAGCGUCAUCAGGAGCUUGUUGGAUUGAUGACGCUUAGCUUAGAAAGGGGCAAAAUCUAUUCACCCCCUGUUGCAUUCACCCCACCCCCAGUUGACACAUCCGUUUCAUAUAAGAAAUAAAAUUAAUGGUGACAUAUAACUUCGAAUAUAAAAAAGUGAUAAUUAGUUAAGUAACUAUGUAUUAUAGAAAAACAAAUGAUUAAUACAAAAUAUUUACUUAA